AAACCACUCCAGCUGCAAACAAUCGAAAAACAUAAAAAAUAUUAUUUCAUUGAAAACUUUUCCCCCUCCCUCUGAGCACACACAUUGAAGAAGUGAGCUUAACAGCAACCUAUAUCUAAUGGGCAAUUACAAGGAUGGAAAUUCCAUAAAAAAUUCUCUUAUUUAUUUAUUGCAAACCAAAAUAAUAAGGAAUUUCAAACCAAACAAUUGAAAGAUC
rnacentral:misc_RNA from 1 species